rnacentral:rRNA from 1 species
GUCUACGGCCAUGCCACCCUGAACAAGCCCAAUCCCAUCUGAUCUCGGAGGCUAAGCAGGGUCGGGCCUGGUUGUACUUGGUUGGGAGACCACCUAGGAAGACCAGGUGCUGUAGACG